ACGUAUUACAGCCUAUAUAUAGGCGUAUAUAUGAAAUCGUGUGUAAUAGUUCCAUUGAUAAAACGGUAUAAUUAUUAUCUGCUAUAUUUGAAUAACAUUUGACACAGACCUCACAUAAUCGGUGUAAAAUAUUGUUUUUCGCGUGUGUAUUGAUAGUUAGGCAAUAUUCAAUACUAUUACGAGCUGUAUUUUAUUAUUAUAUAUUGUGUAGGUACAAACUAUCAACUCAAUAAACAAAAAUUUAUUUUUAAAUUAAAAUGGGCUAGGCAGAAAAAAAGAAUAUUGAACAAAGAAAAAGAAUCAUGAUAUAAGAAAUAAUUGGAUUAAUGAAAAUGGACAGUAAUCAUUUUAGAAAGUACGUGCGUACAACGACAAAUAUUUCCCAAAUAAUUGAAGGACAAAAUACGUAUUUGUAAUGAAUUUAUAUAACACAAAUGACAUUUGCAUAACAUCAAUACAUAUAUCAUUACACUGUGCUGGUCUGAUGCUGCAAUGACGCAAUGGAAUUUGUUUAAUAAGGGGAGGUACGAUGAAUUUUACAAUUACAUAUUUUACUCAUAUAAACUCGAAAGUUUAUUAUUAUUUUUUUAUUUGUAUAUUAAUUACAUAAACAAAAAUCAUGUAAGUACGAUAAGGAAAUUUUAGCGCCCCGCGCCCGUUGCCCGUAACCUAAACAAUGGAUAGAAUCUGCAACUUAAGUAAAUAUAAUAUCGUACCGCUAUUUAACAGUCUGUACAAGGUGCAGGUUACUUUAUUGAAUUAUUAAUUU